CUGACGGGAGACCUUGGUCCUGAGCAGCAGCAGGCUGAUCUCAGGAUGCUAGACAAACAAAAGCAGGGAGAAUUAGACCAAGAGCAAAUAUAUCCUUCGAAAUAUAUCUGCAGUAAUCAGAUAAUAGUAACAUCUGCUACUGCAAUCACAAACCAGAUCAUGUUUUAUCAGAUGACAUUACGACAGCCUGCAUCGGUGUCAUCAGUGAAACAAAUGUCGCACUGUGGAAUCUACAGCAAGAGGAAAGAGGCAGGAAAUGUCAUGCUACUAAGCUCCACUGAACAAGCGUAAUGAAAAUCUAACAUCCACCUCUCCCAUGUCAAGUCCAGGUCUAAAGGAAGAAGGAGGGAGAGACACUGCAGCCACCAUGAGGACAAGCAACAUGUAAAGACACCGG